GCAGCUCUGUCAGAGGUGGAAGCUCAGGGAUGACUUGUCAUGCACUAGAGAUUAAGGCCAACCCAAGAUGGCCACUUGGUAAACCUUUUCCAAGCCCUUAGUUUCUUCUCCUCUUCAUUUCCCUAUCAGUUUUCCUCUCCCAGGGGAGCCCUAAGAUUGAGGGCAGGGCAUUGCCCCAACUAGACACAAUGCUGGGGAUGUGGCCUCACCUGUAAAGUGCUCCAUGGGUCUGCCCCAAGUCCAGGAGCACCAGCAACAGAAGGACAAGCAUUUCCAUGGAAGAAAUUCUUCAAUGUCGGACCCUAGAGAUCAUCCAAUACAUAUCACCAAGUUUAAUGUCAGUCAAACCUGGGUUUGAAUCCUGGGUAUGGCACCUUGCAAACAAGGAAACUAGAUUCAGAGAAAAGCGAUUUAUUUAAGAACAUAUGGCCAUUUGUGGCAGAGCCAAGACUAGAUCCAGGCAUCCCAUCCCGGUCCUCUUUCUACUGUACCACACACCACAUGGCGGAUUUUCCUUCAUUCAUCAACUUCAAGCAGAACCAGGUUGGGACAUUCUCCAGUUGACCAUGUUAGUGCUGAGCUGUGAUCCUGCCGGAGCCAGGGCCAGCAGCAUCCUGGAUUGCUGGCUCGCCUGCGUUCAGGAGCCAGCUGAGCAUGAACGGGAGGCAGCUGCUUGUGUGUUACAUUAACACACUGCCUCUAGGGCUAUCCUACCCUGAUAAAGCUGACUUCCACAGAGCACUGAGCAACUGUCCUCUUAUUGCAAAUUUUUAUUCUGGAAGCUGAAGUUCCAGAAAGGAGAAGUUGAUUGGACAGUAUCACUAUCAUCAUCCCCACCAGCUUUCAAACAUUCUGGAAACAGACAAAGCCUCUGUAUCCAACCAGCCUCCAAUCUAUAUCCCUGAGGGGCUCUUUCUGUCUCCAGAGCCCCUUUCCCAGUGCUGAGAGGCUGGAUCAUUGCCUAUACUAUACACCUAUUAGAAAAAAUGGUUUCUGAUGCUUAGUGUGACUGAUGCCAUCUUAAGAAGCAAGUUGCUCUCAGUGACCCAGUUCACCCCGGGAUGGGUGGGCCUGUAUCACCUGAAAGGAAUGUUCUUACAUAGGAAAGUGGGCCUUUAAGUUGUUUACUGCUUUGGAAUAUACAGCUUAAAAAGCAUGUGCCUCGCGGCUACAAGCCUCCUGUGUUCCUGGAGACUAUACGUAUUA